CUAACCUUGUGAACAUGUAACGAAAUAAAGAAAUCUACAUUGAAGAAAAACUAUUUUAAUUUUUUUUUUUUUUUUUUGUCCCCAGCUUUCUGAUUUGGCAUCAUGAUUCCUGUUGCUGAGUUUAAGCAGUUUACAGAGCAGCAACCUGCCUUUAAAGUCCUUAAACCCUGGUGGGAUGUCUUGGCUGAAUAUAUCACCAUUGCCAUGCUCAUGAUUGGGGUCUUUGGCUGCACCUUACAGGUAAGAAAACCUAUCUCUCCCUGUACCUAAUGUUUCAUAUUUUUAAGUGUGAUUUUCUCCCAAAUGUGUCAGUGUUCUAGUGUGUCAUUCAACUAACUAGUGAAGUCCCUACCUACUAAAAAAGUGUCAAGAUGUAAGGAAGAAAUUGCACAAUCUAGGUUAUUGCGACAUAUAGAUAAAAUACUACUUAUUCAUAGUGGUUACGGCAUGGCAUACAAUUGCCAUAACACCUGUUACAGUGAAUGAUUACUCUCAUUGCCAAUCCUGCAACCUGCAGCAAUCUUCAAUUAAGGGUCUAUUGUUAGAUCCUGGAGCAUCAAAAGACAAUUCUGUGUCACUGUUGUUCUCUUGCACAUACACAAAAGUACAUCCAAGUUCUGUAGACAAGAAAUCAGGAUCCACCAUAGAGCUUACUCAUGCAAUGAGCAAAAAGAAGCCUUGUUCUUGAUCAGUGCCUAGAGAACACUUGGACUUGAUAAAAGUUGAUGGACAAAGCUCUGUCUUUUGACAAUCUGAGCUUGAUCCAUAAGUAAAAAUAUAACCUCUGCCCAGUCUGCUUCCUAGCUGCUUACCCUAGAACGAUUCGGACCUUAGUCGCCGAGGCUUGACUGGGUUCUCUCUGGAGUCUUUUCACCUGACCUGGCUGCAGCUCUCCUUUCAGGCAGGUAUUGUUCCCUCUUCUUAUUCUGCUGCAGCCCUUCUUCCAGGCAGGUACCCACCUCUGCCUGCAAUGUGAUUCCUAUUGCCAUUACAAAGGUACUUGUGGCUCUCAAGCCUGGCUCUCUUGAUUUAGCCCAGGACUAGAGGGAUCGUGCAGAAAGCCAAAAGGCCCAAAGACUGUCACUGGGAUCCCUACAAAUCCACACACACAAGUUCUAAAAGGAACUAACAUCCAGUACUUACUUUGGACUAGCCAAUAUGUUCAUUACAUAAACCUUGCUGUGACAAACUCUAUAAAAUACAAUUAACCAAAUCAAAAAACAUACAGGAACUUAGUGACAUGACAAUUAUAAAGGUAUGGGGAAGACAAUAACUAACACAAUAUGCAAUUCUACCUAAAUAUGCAAAUUAGCACGCCUUGCUAUUCAGGUAAUGCAUAUAGCAACAGGCGGCACUGUACAGGCUCCACAGCCAUAUCCACCAAGUUGAUUGUAAGCAUUAGCAAGGCAGGAUCACACACAAACAUUUAACCCCAAUCAACCACAUUACACACACACACCGUGCACCUGCAAUGGACACAGGGUGACUUAAACAUAGGAAUCAUCCAAAGACCUAAUUUAAUUGUCCAUCUUAAACUCCUAGUGAUGGUGACUACUGUCGCAAUCCCCUACUUUGUCUUAUAUCUUUUUGAUUGAAAUAUAACUUUAUGAAAUAGUGACAGACAGAAUUCUUCAUUUUGUUUUAUGUAAUGCAUUAAUAGUUUUCACUUUUCUCAUUACUUAAUAUAUCUUGUUUGGCACUCCCUACUUUCAUGUGUUGUAUAAUAGUAUGUGCCUAAGUCACUUUCUGAAUGUAAUUAUUUUUUUUGUGUGUGCAUCUUUCACAGAUAACACAAGACAAGAUUAUUUGCCUCCCUAAUCAUACUUCAGCUGAUGAGGUUUCCCAAAUCUCCUGCAAAGAGUUUACUCAAAGUACUCCACCCACCAAUUCUAGUGAUGAUGAAUUCCCAACUUCAACACCACCUCCAGUUGUUACUUCUGGUUCUACCCGUGAGAUGACUGGCCUGCGUAACAAUCUGGAUCUUCAGCAGUACAGCUUCAUCAACCAGAUGUGCUAUGAGACUGCAUUGCACUGGUAUGCAAAAUAUUUUCCAUAUCUAGUUGUUAUCCACACACUUAUCUUCAUAAUCUGUGGAAACUUCUGGUUUAAAUUUCCUGGCACAAGCUCUAAGAUUGAACACUUUAUUUCCAUUUUGGGUAAGUGUUUUGAUUCCCCAUGGACAACUAGAGCUUUAUCUGAAGUGUCAGGAGAGUCCAAUCAAGAGAAGACAGCAGAUCGUGAACUUUCCAAGCCCAGUUUUGAGGAAAAUAGUCCUUCCUCCACUGAGCUUCCAGUUCCUGAUAAAUUGGUGGCAGAGACUGCAUCGGCUAGUGUACUAGACAAGAAAGAAGGAGAGCAAGCAAAAGCACUGUUUGAAAAGGUGAAGAAAUUUCGUCAUCAUGUGGAAGAAGGGGACAUAUUGUAUUUAAUGUACAUGAGACAGACUGUGUUAAAAGUCUGCAAAUUUGUGCUCAUCACCAUAUACAAUGCAGCUUUGGUAGGGCAAAUACACUUUAUUGUACCCUGUAGUGUCCACACAGAGGACAUGACCGGCUACAACAGCUUCUGCUGCAACCACACUAAAGCUCAUCUCUUUUCAAAACUGGCUUUUAGCUAUUUGUGCUUUUUGGGAGUCUAUGGACUGACUUGCCUUUACACACUAUACUGGCUAUUCAGGCGCCCACUGAAGGAGUAUUCUUUCCGGUCAGUGAGAGAAGAAACUGGAAUAAGUGACAUUCCUGAUGUCAAGAAUGACUUUGCUUUUGUUCUUCAUCUUAUAGAUCAAUAUGACUCUCUCUACUCCAAAAGGUUUGCAGUGUUUUUAUCAGAGGUGAGUGAGAGUAGGCUGAGACAACUUAAUUUGAACCAUGAAUGGCCAGCAGAGAAGCUGAGGCAAAAACUUCAGCACACACCUGAAGGCCGGUUGGAGCUACAUCUUUUCAAGCUACCAGGUUUGCCCGAUUCAGUCUUUGAGGUGACUGAAACAGAAUCCCUUAAGUUGGAGAUGCUUAGCGAGGCACUCAUCCCUCCUCUAGUAACCAAAUUAGUCCGACUUGAAGAAUUAUCCCUUUUCAAUUGCCCAGCAAAAAUACAGCAUGCUUCCCUUGCGUACCUCAGGGACCGCCUUAGAGUCCUUCAAAUUAAGUUUGAGGACAUUAAGGAGAUACCACUCUGGGUCUUCAGUCUUCGAGCCCUAGAGGAGCUACACCUGUUUGGCUACCUAUCCCAGGACAUGUCAAAAAAUGUAACACUGGAAAGCCUGCGAGAGUUAAAAAGUCUUAAGGUGUUAACACUCAAAAGCAAUCUCUCUAAAGUGCCUCCCACUGUCACAGAUGUGGCUGGCCAUCUGCAGAAACUUAUAAUACACAAUGAUGGAACAAAGCUUUUAACUCUCAAUGCUCUGAAAAGACUGUCUCUACUCAAAGACCUAGAGUUGAUCCGUUGUGAUCUAGAAAGAAUUCCUCAUGCAGUUUUCAGUCUGAACAACCUACAACUCCUGGAUUUAAAGGAGAAUAACCUGCACACCAUAGAGGAAAUUAUAAGUUUGCAGCACUGCCGCAAACUAAGUGUUCUACGUCUGUGGCACAAUCAAAUAGCCUACAUUCCAGAUCACAUCCGGAAACUCAAGAGUUUAGAAGAGCUGUCUUUCAAUCGCAACAAGAUUCUUGUAUUGCCACCUCAACUUUUCCUAUGUACCAAGCUCCGUCAUCUUGACCUGUCCUUCAAUGAGAUUAGAGAGCUUCCCCCAGAGGUUGGGGUUUUACAGCUGCUUCAGUUUCUCUCAUUGACUGGUAACUUUUUAGAAGAACUUCCCAACGAGCUGUUCUUCUGUCAGAAGUUAAAAACUCUUAAGCUGGGACAGAAUAGGUUGGCAAGUUUAUCCACAAAGAUUGGAUCUCUGACCGCUCUGGUAAAGCUUGAGUUAAAGGGAAACAAGAUAGAUUUCCUGCCCCCAGAGAUAGGUGGAUGUGUUAGCCUGAAAAAGUCUGGCUUAGUGGUAGAACAGUUGUUAAUUGACACACUCCCAAGUGAUGUCAGAGAGAAACUGAGUGAGGACUAAAGAUGCAGAUGAAACAGAGUAUGGUGAUAAGCUUUAAUAGUCUAAAAGCAAGGGGUAUAACAAAAAGGCAGUUUGAGAACAGAAGUGAGAGCAGGUAGAAAUUUGAAACCAUAAAAAAAUAAAUUUUGACAACUAAACAGUGACCUUUGUCAUUAUAAGAAAAGUGUAAUUUUAGAGCGGAACAUAGAAAAAAAAAGUUAACAUUAGAGAAUAGCACAAACUGCUCCCACUGGGACGUCUAAAGAUUGAUAAGCAGGAUCAUUACUCUUAGUAGUUGGGCUAAGUGUGUGCUCACUAGACUGCCUUCUAAAUUAGAGCCAAAGCACCUAAAUUAUGAAUGAGAUUUUAUUCCUCCAAAAGGGGGCUGUGCAACGUUCCAACUUCAUUGCAGGUUUAAGUGUGUCCACGACCACUUUGGUAGAAUGAAAUGUCCAUGUAUAAUUAUGGUGCUGCAGCUCUUUUGUGUUUGGGAAUUCUGUUAUUCACACCCCAGUUUUUGACCCAUUAGGAGAGAGCAGUAGAUGCUAGUGACUUUUAGAUUAGCUAUUUUAUUAAUUGCCUAGAAAAAACAUCUAGAAGAAGCACAUAAAUGUUUCUCUUGUAUGGACUUGCCCCUUUACUAAGGUCUUCUAAGUGAACAUACAUUUAAAAAAAUUAAAUACUGCAAAUAUGCCUUCAAGGCAGGUGUAAGACUUGCCACAUCUCAAGAAACUGGAACACUCCUAAAAAUGAAAUUACUUUGGACAAAACCGGUUUUAUUUUUUUGGAGGGCUAGGUGCAGCAUUGGGUAAAUGGCACCUAACCUGAUUUAUCCACUACUUGGGUUACUUAAACAGCCACAACAGCAUUGGGUCAAUGUACACUUUUAUUUUUUAUUUAAAUUAUUUGAUGAAAUAAUAAAACCUUUUAUAAAAUGC